rnacentral:rRNA from 1 species
AUGAACGCUGGCGGCGUGCCUAAUACAUGCAAGUCGAGCGAACAGACGAGGAGCUUGCUCCUCUGACGUUAGCGGCGGACGGGUGAGUAACACGUGGAUAACCUACCUAUAAGACUGGGAUAACUUCGGGAAACCGGAGCUAAUACCGGAUAAUAUAUUGAACCGCAUGGUUCAAUAGUGAAAGACGGUUUUGCUGUCACUUAUAGAUGGAUCCGCGCCGCAUUAGCUAGUUGGUAAGGUAACGGCUUACCAAGGCGACGAUGCGUAGCCGACCUGAGAGGGUGAUCGGCCACACUGGAACUGAGACACGGUCCAGACUCCUACGGGAGGCAGCAGUAGGGAAUCUUCCGCAAUGGGCGAAAGCUUGACGGAGCAACGCCGCGUGAGUGAUGAAGGUCUCGGAUCGUAAAACUCUGUUAUUAGGGAAGAACAAAUGUGUAAGUAACUAUGCACGUCUUGACGGUACCUAAUCAGAAAGCCACGGCUAACUACGUG